rnacentral:rRNA from 1 species
UGUUUCGGCUAGGGGGCCAUCCCGGCUUACCAACCCGAUGCAAACUGCGAAUACCGGAGAAUGUUAUCACGGGAGACACACGGCGGGUGCUAACGUCCGUCGUGAAGAGGGAAACAACCCAGACCGCCAGCUAAGGUCCCAAAGUCAUGGUUAAGUGGGAAACGAUGUGGGAAGGCCCAGACAGCCAGGAUGUUGGCUUAGAAGCAGCCAUCAUUUAAAGAAAGCGUAAUAGCUCACUGGUCGAGUCGGCCUGCGCGGAAGAUGUAACGGGGCUAAACCAUGCACCGAAGCUGCGGCAGCGACACUGUGUGUUGUUGGGUAGGGGAGCGUUCUGUAAGCCUGUGAAGGUGUGUCGUGAGGCAUGCUGGAGGUAUCAGAAGUG